rnacentral:lncRNA from 1 species
UGGGUUCAAUACCCAGAAGAAAGGAAAGAAAGAAAGAAAGAAAGAAAGAAAGAAAGAAAGAAAGAAAGAAAGAAUUGUACUGAGAAUAUUGUAUGUGAUAGGCAUCUGGGCUCUGAGAGUGAGGUUAUGGCACUCUCUCUAACUUCAAGAUGCUCAUCUUCCUUAGGGGAGGCAGAGAGGUCCUUUGUACUCCUACAUAACUUUUUAAUUUCAAUAUCCAACUCUUCAUUUAUGAAGCCAUCAGGUGAGCAGCUUGCUUUAUCACAUGCUCCCAACCAUGAUGUUCUGCCUCACCACAGGUCUAAAUGCAACAGAACCAACUUACCACGGACUGAAACUUCCAGAACGAAAGAAAUAGUUCCUAAUACCUUCACAGAAGAAAGCAAAGGAACAUCAACAGAUGUACUGUGUCUACAUUUAUCCAGUUGUUCCUUCAAAAACUGACAAAUUCUGCACCCAGGAUUUAAGAAGGGAGAGAUAGCCCUCUUCUCUUGCCUAAGUAAAUGCAUCAACCAAAACUUAAGGAGUGAACCAGCUGUCCCUAGGAACCCAUGCAUAAACAAAAGAAAAAGCACAUCCAAAGAAACAGCAAAGACAAAUAA